rnacentral:lncRNA from 1 species
GUUGGUAUUAUUUACUCCAAGAGGAAACUAAAGGCAGAGAGUUUAAGUAACUUGCCAAAAGUCACAUGGCAGAAUCAGGAUUUGAGCUCAGAUAUGUUAAACUGAAGCUUGUGCUCUUGACUGCCUGGCUGUGCAGUCUUCCAGAAGAGCACGGCAUGGACUUCUGGAAUUCUUGCAGCCACUCGACUCAAAAGCAGUUAGCAUAGUGCUGAGCACAGGUAAUAGGGCAUUUGACAAAUGCCAGUGACUGUAGACCGAAUGAUUGACAGUCUGAAAGAAUGAAUGAGUGAAGUGACUUCCUGUCUUGUGAGGUUUUUCUCUUCAAAUGGAAGAUUUCC